GUAGGGAAUAUUGGGCAAUGGUCGGAAGACUGACCCAGCCAUGCCGCGUGCAGGAAGACGGCCCUCUGGGUUGUAAACUGCUUUUAUCUGGGAAGAAAAAGGCCAUGCGUGGCAAAUUGCCGGUACCAGAUGAAUAAGCACCGGCUAACUCCGUGCCAGCAGCCGCGGUAAUACGGAGGGUGCGAGCGUUGUCCGGAUUUAUUGGGUUUAAAGGGUGCGUAGGCGGCCGAUUAAGUCAGCGGUGAAAGACUUCGGCUUAACCGGAGCAGUGCCGUUGAUACUGGUUGGCUUGAGUGUCGGAGGGGUACAUGGAAUUGAUGGUGUAGCGGUGAAAUGCAUAGAUACCAUCAGGAACACCGAUAGCGAAGGCAUUGUACUGGCCGACAACUGACGCUGAUGCACGAAAGUGUGGGGAUCGAACAGGAUUAGAAACCCGUGUAGUCC
rnacentral:rRNA from 1 species